rnacentral:rRNA from 1 species
GAUGAACGCUGGCGGCGUGCCUAAUACAUGCAAGUCGAGCGAACAGACGAGGAGCUUGCUCCUUUGACGUUAGCGGCGGACGGGUGAGUAACAUGUAGGUAACCUACCUAUAAGACUGGGAUAACUUCGGGAAACCGGAGCUAAUACCGGAUAAUAUUUCGAACCGCAUGGUUCGAUAGUGAAAGAUGGCUUUGCUAUCACUUAUAGAUGGACCUGCGCCGUAUUAGCUAGUUGGUAAGGUAACGGCUUACCAAGGCAACGAUACGUAGCCGACCUGAGAGGGUGAUCGGCCACACUGGAACUGAGACACGGUACAGACUCCUACGGGAGGCAGCAGUAGGGAAUCUUCCGCAAUGGGCGAAAGCCUGACGGAGCAACGCCGCGUGAGUGAUGAAGGUCUUCGGAUCGUAAAACUCUGUUAUUAGGGAAGAACAAACGUGUAAGUAACUGUGCACGUCUUGACGGUACCUAAUCAGAAAGCCACGGCUAACUACGUG